UUAAAGGUACCCGUACCGCAAACCGACACAGGGGGGUGAGGAGAGUAUCCUAAGGCCAGCGAGAGAACUGUUGUUAAGGAACUCGGCAAAAUGACCCCGUAACUUAGGGAUAAGGGGUGCCACCAUCCGGUGGCCGCAGAGAAUAGGCUCAAGCGACUGUUUACCAAAAACAUAGGUUUCUGCUAAGUCGCAAGACGAUGUAUAGGAGCUGACGCCUGCCCGGUGCUGGAAGGUUAAGGGGAUCUGUUAGAGCAAUCGAAGCAGUGAACUUAAGCC
rnacentral:rRNA from 1 species